UUUUUAUUCCCUUCUAUCCAAAUUACUUGUCGCAACUGUGUCUAGAUACGCAUGUAUCUACACACUGAAAGGCAUCUAGAUACAUGCGUAUCUAGACAAAAUUGUUAUAGGUAAUUUGGAUCGGAGGCAAUACUAU
rfam:Brachypodium distachyon strain Bd21 chromosome 2, whole genome shotgun sequence.